CCUACGGGAGGCAGCAGUAGGGAAUUUUGCGCAAUGGGCGAAAGCCUGACGCAGCAACGCCGCGUGAUCGAGACGCCCUUCGGGGUGUAAAGAUCUGUCAGUGGGGACGAAACUUGACGGUACCCACAGAGGAAGCACCGGCUAACUCCGUGCCAGCAGCCGCGGUAAUACGUAGGGGGCGAGCGUUGUCCGGAAUUACUGGGCGUAAAGAGAGCGUAGGCGGCACUACAAGUCUCAUGUGAAAUACCCGGGCUUAACUUGGGGGUUGCAUGGGAAACUGUAGAGCUUGAGUACAGGAGAGGCAAGCGGAAUUCCUAGUGUAGCGGUGAAAUGCAUAGAUAUUAGGAGGAACACCAGUGGCGAAGGCGGCUUGCUGGACUGAAACUGACGCUGAGGCUCGAAAGCGUGGGGAGCAAACAGGAUUAGAUACCCCUGUAGUC
rnacentral:rRNA from 1 species